ensembl:lncRNA
GGGAGGGGGCGGUGGUGAGAGGCUCGCUCUGGCAAGUCAGAAACGGGACCAGUCUUUCUCUCCUCUUUAAAAUCUGCCUUUUCCUUGGCCAGUCCUUCUGAAGUUCCAACCUUUGACGUGAUUUUCUCUGUUAGGAAUUUAUGAUCCAAACAUCUGUCUGUCUGUCUGUCUUUUUGAUCUUCUGAUUCGGCGACUCUUCUUUGGCUUCGUCACUUCUGAACCUUCCCCCACUCCCACUCCCACCCCCCAGCUGCCAUGGCGUGGAGUGGGUGGGAUAGGGUUCGAUUGUACUUGGCUUGUUCUGUCUCCGGGUGGCUCGUGCACGGCACACCUGAACAAAGAAGCAAAUUGAAAGCCAGCUGUUUGCGCUUCCCCUCUCCUCCCACCCCUGGUCCCGCGGGGAUUUCUGGCCCGAAGCCGGGGUGCCGUGGGUAGCCCUGCAUUUGACCUGGGGGCUUCUCCUCUGAUCCUAGCGCUUGCUUCCUCUUAGCUAAACCUUGUCUUAGCACUCCUGUCUGCACCUAAAUUGCCUUAUCUUUAAAAACUAGAUUACCCUUUUAGCUCAAAAUAGAUGGUUCUCAUAAUUAAUAAUGUUCGGCUGAGAUUUUGUUUUAUCUCUGUUUAAAAGUUUGUGUGUAGUGUAUUUUUAAAGUCUGUUUGCUAUUGUCUCACAGCACAUGGUAGAGUCAAAUAUUUGAUUGGAAUCAUGUUAAAGACAUCUGAAUCCAGUGUUUUCUCUUUUUGCAGUAGUUUUGAAAUAACUAAAAUUUCUAUGCCUCUAAAAUGGAAAAAAAAAAAAAAAAAAAAAAAAAAAAAACAGUUCCAGAUAUUUGGCUAAAUUUGACCUGAAUUUUCUGUGGAUUCUGUUCUGCUCGUCGGGGCCAUUGUUCAGUAGCAGGUGUAUGCCAUCUCAGGUUUGAAGCCAUUUUGUGUUUCUAACAUGUAUAAACCAUAGUUUGCAGCUUUAUGAGAAGGAGCCAAAACUAGGAGGCCUGGAAGUCAAGGAGAUGAAGCUUACUCACUUCCUGGAAGGUUAGGAUUGUUUUGGCACCACAUUGGCCACUUGUGGCCCUCAGGGUUUGACGCUGGGAGGAAAAUGGUAUUCUUAAGCUUCCUGGUCAUUAUUUGUGAUUUAGGAAUCUGGGUUUGUCCUGCCAAAGGAACUGCAGCCCCUGAAAGUGUGUGGUGUUCUGUUCAGUUCGUUUUUGCAUUUCAGGGUUCUUUCCCAUUUUUACACCAGGAUCAGGACUUGACAGUCCUCUCUACCAGAGCACUAGAGUGUGGCAGGAACCAGAUUCAAAUGGAAUUGGGAAAUGUUUAACAAAAUAAAUUAAAAUACUGGAGUAUAUUGGUGGUGAUACUAUUUGAUUUGCAAAGUUAACAUAGGGCAUACUGGGAUCCUUAGUUUAGGAGUUUUGACUCCACUACCCUAUUCGAGUAAAGGUGCAAUUUUCCCCCGUAAGGAUUAAACUUGGCUUUGCUGGAUAAGGUGCUCUUGUUUGUGAACUUGUAUUUUUUUUUUAACCUUUUGGAAGAUCAUGUUUCAAAAUUUUUAUUUAUAAUCCAGGUUGCCAGGUUUACAUGAUCCUGACUUUGGUUCCUUGUGUAAUAGUGAUUACUGACCCCCACCACCCAAAGCCCAAUUAUUACAUUUCACCCCUUGCUGAGGGUUCCCUGGUACCUUUGAGAAGGUCUGGGGGUUAAGGUAUAUAGUCUUUGUCAUUGGCUCAAGCGCUCAUCAGUACAUGAUUCCCAAUUUUAGGGGGUCCCCUAUAUCCUGGUUCUCUUUAAACAUUAACAAUCCCAUUAGCUUUUUUUCAAAGUGACAUUUCCUUCCAAAGUAUGGCAAGCACAAACAUACAGACAAAAUCCUCCAGACUCCAUAGUUGGGGGAGAUGAGGUAGAUUAAUAUCACAGUUUAGUUCAAUUCCUAUAUAGCAUCAAUCCCACCAAGUUCUAAACUCCUUUGCCCCACCUUUGGCUUCUGUCCCAGCACCCUGGCUUUUCCAAGGCUUCCUUCCAUGUGAUUUGGAAUCCUGGCUCCAAGGUCCCUUACUCAAGUCUUUCUGCAUCUAGAACUAAAAAGGACAAAUGAAACAGACCAAACCCCAGGCCUGGACCUUAGAACCAUAAACCUAAAAGGAGAGGAAGGUAAUCUUUUUUCUCCCCAGCUUAGUAACUGGCCCGUACCCCCAGGUGCCUCUGGUCAGGUAUUGUGGUUAUCAAGCUGAUGGACCACGAGGCCACCACAGGCUGUCUGGUGUCUGCCACUAGAGGGCCUCUCUCUUAGGCAAUCUGGGUAUGCCCCCAAAUCCCAUUUCAAAUAAAAUCCAAUACAUAGGGUUACAAAGGAAAUCAGUUAUUCAGAAAUACGAUCUGAAACUGGGAUAACUUGCAAUCCAGUGGUGGGUCUAGUAACUACAGUCAUUUUGAAGUCGGGUUAAGUGUAAAUGUAACAGCAGUAAUGAGAUGGAAAAUUAUCUGGGAUUUCUGUUGGUGACACUCUUGGGUCUUGCUAGUAUUACUGUGGUGUGGUACCUACAUUCAUAAUUUAAGGAAAUGCUAAAUUGCAGUUAGAGAUUAGUGAAAAUAAUGAUGUCAUUUUGUCCCAUCCAGACUCUCGUCUCAUUCAUGUUCCAUGGAUUCCAGGUUAAGAACUCCUGAUCUAGAGUUUUGGUUACUGGUAUAUUUCUGUAUUGUCAUAUAGCCUUUAUCACUUAUUUUUUAGGUUUUCUAAGUCAAUAUGCAGCAGGAUAUGCAAGGAUCCUUACUGUUAGUGGCCCUAUUUCUAUUUGAGUUUACCACCAUUGUUAUGGAGGAAAGUCUGCUGGGUUUGGAGUCAGGAGACUUUGACAUUGGAAGUCUAACCCUGGCACUCUGGCAUAUACUUGUGGGGCUUUAGGUCUGCACAUCAAGACUAUAUUUACCUCAUAGAGUCAGGGACAACACCAUCUUUUUAUUUGAUUUUGGACUGUUCUGGUAUAAUUCAUUUAUGAAUACGUAAGGUUCUAGCACCAUCUUUUCAUCUGGCGGCUGAAUAAUGAUUUGCUCAGUCAUUCUCUGAUAGUGUGAUCAUAUCAGUUAUUUGUUGAUUAUUUUGUCAAUUUGGGUAUCCAUUUUUUGUAAGUAGUUAUCUCUAUAUUCUCUGUUUUGUUGCCACCUGUGUAGUAAUAUUCUCAAUCUUCUUUAUAUCAUCCUCAUUCCUUGUGAUUUCUCUCUUUCUCUUUUCCAAUUUUGAAAUUGGGAUUAUUUUUGAUUACGUGCCAGUGGUUUAUGUAUUUUAUUUAUCUUUUUUUUAAACAGCCAACUCUUUUUUUGUUAAUUUAGUGAUAUUUUUAUUUGAAAAAUGUUUUGGUUCAUUUCUCGUUUAAUUCUAGCAAUUUUCUUUUUUGGUCUCAUUUUGGAGGUAUUGAGCUGUUUAUUUUUAAUUUUUAAAAAAUAUUAAGUCAACUCAAACAUUUCCUAUUCCCCCUCCCCCCAUAUAAAUUGGCCCCUGAAUAUUGCUUUAGCCUUGUCCAAUAAAGUUGAUAUUAUAUAAUUGUGGUUUCCUGUAAUUAAUUUAAUUUACACAUGCAUUAUUGAGACAUGUUUUAUUUUCCAUAAAGGCCUUCAUUUAUUAAGUAUAUUUCUCCUUUUGCUAACUUUUUAUUAUAUAGUGAUUUUAAAACAUGUUUAAGCUUAUUUAUUUGUUUUGUCCAUUUUUGUGAAUGAUUUCUGUGUAUUUGGGAAAAAAAUAUUCUCUUCCUUUUCCCCAUUGAGUUCUAUCAAAUCUACCUUUUUUAGCACUCUGUUCACAUCUGUAAUUGCUUUCUUAUUAAUCUUUUUUAUUUGAUUUGUCAUUAUGUUAGCAGGAUGUCAGUUUCCCACUGUUUAUUGUAUUAUAUGCAUUUUUUUUUGUAACUCAAUACAUUUUCAUUUAUAAAGUACCUUGCUGUGUCAUUAGGUGUAUAUAUAUGCUUAAUAUUGAUAUCCUCUUCAUUGUCAAUGACAUUUUUUGAUUUUUCUUUAUUUUUCAAUAUUUUUAUUUCUAUUAAGCUCAAAUAUUUGAAUAAAAAAUACAAAAAGUGAAAAGAAACUAAGCAAAAAGCAAUUGUGAAUGAUUAUAAUGUAACUGCAGAAAGAGACUGUGUGUAAACUUUUUCUGAGAUCUUAACAAAGAUUGUUUAUGCAUUUGACAUAGUUCCAUUGCGGUUGAUAUUGUUUUUCUGUCUUUUUAUGAGAGGGCAGCAUGGCAAAGUGAAUAGGGAGCCAGUCUUUGAUGCAGGAAGACCUGGGUUCAAGGCCUGUCUCCAACUGGUCAGGUGACUGUAGGCAACUGAUGUGACUUUAGUUCUCUUGGCAGUUGUCUAAAGCUCCAAUAGGGUGGGCUUUCCGCACCACAGAGUUCUCUAUGACAGUGAAAUGCUAGGACUCAUAGCCAUCCUGGCCUUGUUUUUCCACAACUGGAAGCAAAGAGUGUGUUCUCUUAUGACUUUUCUUCACUCGGGUGUCACUGUACUUCCUAAGUUUUCCUUGAGGUCAAGAAUGUUUUGCUCGUUGUGUUCCCAAGAUAAAGUGUGAUACUUAGAAAUCCUGACAUGUUUAGCUUUUGAAUAAUUUCUGGAAUUGAAUUUUUUAAAUUCUUCAUGUUUACCAUUUUAUUAUGCUUUGAUAUUUAAUUGCCUUCAUGUAACAUUUUUUCAUUCAUUCAGGAAACAUUUUUUAAGCAUUUGCCAGGCACUGUGCUAAGUGCUAGGGAUACAAAAGAGGCAAAAGACAGCCCCUUCCCUCAGAGAGGAGCUCACAAUCUAAUGGGAGAGACAACGUGCUGACAAAUACAUACAAAGGAAGCUCUAUAUGGGAUAAAUAGGAAUUGAUCAACAAAGGAGAGACUGGAAUGAAGAGGGGUUGAGAAAGGCUUCCUAUAGAAAGUGGAUUUUAAUUGGGACUUAAAGGAAGCCAGGGAGGAGAGUAAGGGGAGUGGAGGAGAGAGAAUGUUCCAGGCAUGUGGGACAGCCAGGGGGAAUGCCUGGAGCUGACAGAUGGAGUGCCUUGUUCGUGGAACAGCCAGGAGGCCAGAGUCACUGGAUCAAAGAAUACCUGUCGGGGAGUAAGGUGUAAGAAGACUGGAAAGGUAGGAGGGG